rnacentral:rRNA from 1 species
GACGAACGCUGGCGGCGUGCCUAAUACAUGCAAGUUGAGCGCUGAAGGUUGGUACUUGUACCAACUGGAUGAGCAGCGAACGGGUGAGUAACGCGUGGGGAAUCUGCCUUUGAGCGGGGGACAACAUUUGGAAACGAAUGCUAAUACCGCAUAAAAACUUUAAACACAAGUUUUAAGUUUGAAAGAUGCAAUUGCAUCACUCAAAGAUGAUCCCGCGUUGUAUUAGCUAGUUGGUGAGGUAAAGGCUCACCAAGGCGAUGAUACAUAGCCGACCUGAGAGGGUGAUCCGCCACAUUGGGACUGAGACACGGCCCAAACUCCUACGGGAGGCAGCAGUAGGGAAUCUUCGGCAAUGGACGAAAGUCUGAACGAGCAACGCCGCGUGAGUGAAGAAGGUUUUCGGAUCGUAAAACUCUGUUGGUAGAGAAGAACGUUGGUGAGAGUGGAAAGCUCAUCAAGUGACGGUAACUACCCAGAAAGGGACGGCUAACUACGUG